CCUACGGGAGGCAGCAGUGAGGAAUAUUGGUCAAUGGCCGAGAGGCUGAACCAGCCAAGUCGCGUGAGGGAAGACUGUCCUAUGGAUUGUAAACCUCUUUUGUCAGGGAGCAAAGUCACCCACGUGUGGGUUUUGGAGAGUAACUGAAGAAAAAGCAUCGGCUAACGCCGUGCCAGCAGCCGCGGUAAUACGGAGGGUGCAAGCGUUACUCGGAAUCACUGGGCGUAAAGAGUGCGUAGGCGGGGUAAUAAGUCAGAGGUGAAAUCCUGUAGCUUAACUACAGAACUGCAUUUGAAACUGUUGCUCUGGAGUGUGGGAGAGGUAGGUGGAAUGCUUGGGGUAGGGGUAAAAUCCGUAGAGAUCAAGAGGAAGACUGAUUGCGAAGGCGACCUGCUGGAACAUUACUGACGCUGAUGCACGAAAGCGUGGGGAGCAAACAGGAUUAGAUACCCGGGUAGUC
rnacentral:rRNA from 1 species